AAGAUGGCUGUCUAAACAUUCCGAUAGAGGUAGAUCGGCCUCGGAACAGAGAUGAAAAACAAACUUUUCUGUUAGGGAAAACAUAAUAAUGCGACAUAAUUUCAUCAAUUUUUAUGUAAAUUUGAGUCAGAGACCAGAAUUUAAGGGGUUCGUUCAACAAAAAACAGUAAUUCAGCUGUAAUUGGAAUUCUGAAGGGAAAAAAAAUGUCCAUUAUUGUUUGAAUUGAAGCAACUAUUGCAUUCUGGUUCAAAACUAGAAAGCAAAUAUGAAGAGCAGUGCAUCGUUGACAUCAUUAUCAUCAAUGGACAAAGAGUCAUCACUGAAUUUCUAUGGCCAUUAUGGCUUCAACAGCACUUUAAGUCAACAGCGUUCAUCAUUCUCAAAUCUUUCUAGUGCACCUACAUUAAACAAUAAUAACAAAUUGCAAGAUGAUUUUAGAAGAAAAUUCACAGAAGAGCAAGAUGAACUCCCUCGGCUUUCAAACAAAAAGCGUCAGAAGCGCAAUGACCUGAUAACAGUCAAUCUGAGUGGAACUAGAUACGAAGUGGGUAGGUUAUCAUACAAAACAAACGAAUAUUUAAACAUGGUUAAAUCAGAUUUUGUAGGA
rnacentral:sRNA from 1 species